UACGUAGGGUGCGAGCGUUAAUCGGAAUUACUGGGCGUAAAGCGUGCGCAGGCGGUUUCACAAGCUCGAUGUGAAAGCCCCGGGCUUAACCUGGGAAUGGCAUUGAGGACUGUGGAGCUUGAGUGCGGCAGAGGGAGGUGGAAUUCCACGUGUAGCAGUGAAAUGCGUAGAGAUGUGGAGGAACACCGAUGGCGAAGGCAGCCUCCUGGGCCGACACUGACGCUCAUGCACGAAAGCGUGGGGAGCAAACAGG
rnacentral:rRNA from 1 species